AUAUGCAAGUCGAACGAGGUAGCAAUACCUAGUGGCGCACGGGUGAGUAACGCGUGGAUAAUCUGCCCUUCACUGGGGAAUAACUAAUCGAAAGGUUAGCUAAUACCGCAUGAGGCCACAGACUCUGAGGAGACAGUGGUUAAAGAUUUAUUGGUGAAGGAUGAGUCUGCGUGGGAUUAGCUAGUUGGUGAGGUAAUGGCUCACCAAGGCUACGAUCUCUAACAGGUCUGAGAGGAUGACCUGUCACACUGGAACUGAGACACGGUCCAGACUCCUACGGGAGGCAGCAGUAGGGAAUAUUGCGCAAUGGACGAAAGUCUGACGCAGCGACGCCGCGUGAGUGAUGAAGGCCUUAGGGUCGUAAAGCUCUGUUGCAGGGGAAGAAAAAAAUGACGGUACCCUGCGAGAAAGGAUCGGCUAACUUCGUGCCAGCAGCCGCGGUAAGACGAGGGAUCCUAGCGUUGUUCGGAAUCAUUGGGCGUAAAGCGCAUGUAGGCUGCCAUUCAAGUCAGUUGUGAAAGCCCCGGGCUCAACCCGGGAAGUGCUUCUGAUGCUGUUUGGCUUGAGUACUAGAGAGGAUAGUAGAAUUCCAGGUGUAGUGGUGAAAUACGUAGAUAUCUGGAGGAAUACCG
rnacentral:rRNA from 1 species